AGGACGGAAAGACCCCAUGGAGCUUUACUGUAGCUUGACAUUGGGUCUUGGUACUACAUGUACAGGAUAGGUGGGAGGCUUUGAAACCAGGACGACAGUUUUGGCGGAGCCAUCCUUGGGAUACCACACUUGUAGUACUGGGACUCUAACCAUAGGCCAUGAAUCUGGUCUUGGGACACUGUCAGGUGGGCAGUUUGACUGGGGCGGUCGCCUCCCAAAAGG
rnacentral:rRNA from 1 species